rnacentral:tRNA from 1 species
GCCCUGGUAGCUCAGUCGGUUAGAGCGUUACAUUGGUAAUGUAGAGGCCGAGAGUUCGAUUCUCUCCCAGGGCU